GACGUAGGGUGCAAGCGUUGUCCGGAGUUACUGGGCGUAAAGGGCGCGUAGGCGGCCGGCCAGGUCGACUGUCAAAGCCCCGGGCUCAACCCGGGAAUGGCAGCCGAUACCGGCCGGCUCGAGGACGGUAGAGGGAGGUGGAACUCCCGGUGUAGGGGUGAAAUCCGAUGAGCUCGGGAAGAACACCGAACGGCGAAGGCAGCCUCCUGGACCGAUCCUGACGCUGAGGCGCGAAAGCCUGGGGAGCAAACCGG
rnacentral:misc_RNA from 1 species